UACGUAGGGGGCAAGCGUUGUUCGGAAUUACUGGGCGUAAAGAGCGCGCAGGCGGUCGAUCAAGUCGAGUGUGAAAGCCCCCGGCUCAACUGGGGAGGGUCAUUCGAUACUGAUCGACUCGAAGGCAGGAGAGGGUAGUGGAAUUCCCGGUGUAGUGGUGAAAUGCGUAGAUAUCGGGAGGAACACCAGUGGCGAAGGCGACUACCUGGCCUGUUCUUGACGCUGAGGCGCGAAAGCUAGGGGAGCAAACGGG
rnacentral:rRNA from 1 species